AAGAAAAGUAUACAUCAUUCUUAUAGUGUGUUUGAUUGGAAAUUUGACAAUUUUAUAUAUUAGCAAGGUGCUUUAUAUUCAGUUAAAAGAAGGUUCGAGCUUCAGAAAAUAGUGGCUGCUUUCCUCCACCUUAAAGCUCGAUGAGCAUCUUCUCAGUCGCCUUGUAUCACCUUUAACCGGUACCAUAGUUCCAAGGAUUAUACUUGUCUUUGCUGCCCUUGCGAUCGUGAACCUCUGUCAAUGCUCUCUAUAGAAGACUCUCUGGACUAAAUAAAAUAAAGGAGUCAGGUUCUAGGGAGCUAUGCUUCUUGAGUUCGAAGCAAAGAAAGAAGUCAGGUUUUUCUGAGCGACUCAGGACAAGCUGUUCCACAGCUAUAUCACUGGCAUAUAAGGCAUCCAGAGAGUCACAGACAAGUCCAAUACUUUUUCAUCAGGGUUCUCCAUACCAGUCAUGACACGCAUCCUUGACUUCACAGAAUCAGAAGGCUAAUUGUGGUUUUGUCUCUCUUCUCUUUUUGCAGACAAACUAACACAGAAGAUCAUUGAAGCAGUUGAGACUUUGUUUGUUUUAGUUAAACUGCUUGAGACUUUGUUUGUUUUAGUUAAACACCGUAUCCUUGUUUGUUUGUUUU